GAUGAACGCUGGCGGCGUGCCUAAUACAUGCAAGUCGAGCGAACAGGCGAGGAGCUUGCUCCUCUGACGUUAGCGGCGGACGGGUGAGUAACACGUGGAUAACCUACCUAUAAGACUGGGAUAACUUCGGGAAACCGGAGCUAAUACCGGAUAAUAUAUUGAACCGCAUGGUUCAAUAGUGAAAGACGGUUUUGCUGUCACUUGUAGAUGGAUCCGCGCCGCAUUAGCUAGUUGGUAAGGUAACGGCUUACCAAGGCAACGAUGCGUAGCCGACCUGAGAGGGUGAUCGGCCACACUGGAACUGAGACACGGUCCAGACUCCUACGGGAGGCAGCAGUAGGGAAUCUUCCGCAAAGGGCGAAAGCCUGACGGAGCAACGCCGCGUGAGUGAUGAAGGUCUUCGGAUCGUAAAACUCUGUUAUUAGGGAAGAACAAAUGUGUAAGUAACUAUGCACGUCUUGACGGUACCUAAUCAGAAAGCCACGGCUAACUACGUG
rnacentral:rRNA from 1 species